UACAAGACAAAAAACACGUUGUGUGUUCAACUUCUGAGGACGACUGAUGACACAUCUCCACUCCCACUCGCACUCGCACCCGCAGCCAACCAGUGUGGGUGACAUGUUUCAUUUUUGGGGAGAGCACACAUCAAUAGCGGUCAAAGUGAAGAAGACGACCGCGAGAACAUCCUCGGUGGGAAACUCAACGUUCAAACAAAAUACAUCCUACUCAGCAGAGAUGCUGAAAUGUAUUCAUGGGUCCAGAAGAGCAGAUCAACAACAGAAGUCCACAAUGAGUGACGGAUGACUACAUACGCUUUUACGAGCAACAUGUUACUCGUGUUUCAUCAAGAGGUUCAUGCGGUGACGAUGUUUGCUGAUGAGACGUCAAUCAAGCAUUCAUCUACGGCAGCUGCAGUCGGGUGGAAAAGCAAAUAAAAAAAGGACAGCACGCUUCAUCGCGCACGGGAGGACAAAAUGAUGCAAUCUCUUUCCUUAUUUUCACCGCUUGCCUGAGAGCGCAUUUAACCGGAGAGAGAAGCAAAAGUUUCCCCGCUGAUGUCAUUCUUUCUACUGGUAGCUAUUUUUAGAAGAGAAGAUUGAUCACACUGGAACGUGAUGAGAUUAAAACACACACACACACACACACACACACACACGUAUUGAACCAGUGUAGGGCUGCAAGAGCUCAUGUGUCUGAUGGCGCAUGUUGAGGCUGGACCCGUUUAGCAACGCAAGCACAUUUAAGCAUGUUCACGUCCACAAAGUGGUUAAAUGUGCUUGAAAAACACGGCCCUCCGAGAUCGGACCUGUGAACACGCCCGGGCUGAGGACGAGACCCCAUGACGAGACGAACGGGAAUAAAAAGACAGCGUUGGAAAAUAUAGACUUGGCAGAGAAAUGAAAAUGGGAGCUGACACUCCGUGCGUCUAUCUCCAGUGUGAGCCUUGUUUUUGUCAUAAAUUCUGCAGAUGGGAAUACAAGCACUAAGAAAUAAAAGCCAAGAGCUUUGUGUUUA